AUAAAGGCGAUGAACGGAAGAAGACAGAGAAGGUCGCACAGAGAGACGGCGGUUGCUGUGAAGCCGUUGCGAGGUUCCUGUCGAGUCACCCGGAAGCCGGCAAGAAAAAGCCUUGCUCGGAAGCAGCCGUUAUCUGUCGGAUAGAGGGGUCGUAUAACGACAACUUAGGUGGUACCGCGGAAGUUUGCAUACUUUCGUCCUGAAU
rnacentral:ncRNA from 1 species